UACGGAGGGUGCAAGCGUUAUCCGGAUUCACUGGGUUUAAAGGGUGCGUAGGUGGGCAAGUAAGUCAGUGGUGAAAUCUCCGGGCUUAACCCGGGAAACUGCCAUUGAUACUAUUUGUCUUGAAUACUGUGGAGGUCAGCGGAAUAUGUCAUGUAGCGGUGAAAUGCUUAGAUAUGACAUAGAACACCAAUUGCGAAGGCAGCUGGCUACACAAAUAUUGACACUGAGGCACGAAAGCGUGGGGAUCAAACAGG
rnacentral:rRNA from 1 species